AUAGCUCUGCUCUCUUUAGUGUUCACGUUAUGUCAGUGAACAGUUGAUCGCUGAAAGAUGUAUUGCAUAUAUCUCCAAAUCAGUAAUAUAAAUAGUACUGUUACUAAAUUAGCAUAACUAAAAAUUAGAUUAAAUCAUAUGCAUGAAAAUGCUCAUUGAUUAAUUUCUCUAGCUUUUAUUGUCGAGAUAAUAGCUCUGCUCUCUUUAGUGUUGACGUUUCUUCAUGAUACACGAGAUGAACCUGCAUCUAAAGAAACUGAGUUGAGAUCUCUUUUUAUUUGGUCUGGCAUCCAUACACUAACAACCAUGAACUGGAAGGUAAAUAGAAGCAACAACAAUAAAAAGAGAGUGAUUUUUCCUCAUGUUGGAUCCAUAACAGGGAGGAGAGAUGGAGAGACAAGUUGUACCUUAGGCGUGCAUGCGACCAAGAGCACGCACAAACAGAUCGAUGAAGAACCCAAGGCUCACAAGACGCCUCUGCUUCUCCUGCAGCAUGCGUCCAUUUCAACAUCAAUCUUCUUCACACUGUCGAAGACGAGGAGGAGAGAGGCUGCGGCCAGCGAGCCAGCCUCAACACCCUUCACCGAUCCGUCUCGACCUUGUUCUCCUCCACAUCCUCGUUGGCAGCGCCUUCCCCUCACUACUGGGACUGAUUACAUUAGGGUUAGAGACUGCAAGUAAACUCGCAUGCCGAACUUCACUGCCCUCGUACAU
rnacentral:lncRNA from 1 species